rnacentral:piRNA from 1 species
UAAUAAAACUGCGUGGUGUGU